rnacentral:rRNA from 1 species
UACGGAGGGGGCUAGCGUUGUUCGGAAUGACUGGGCGUAAAGCGCGCGUAGGCGGAUCAUCAAGUCGGGGGUGAAAUCCCGGGGCUCAACCCCGGAGCGGCCUUCGAGACUGGUGGUCUUGAGUUCGAGAGAGGUGGGUGGAAUUCCGAGUGUAGAGGUGAAAUUCGUAGAUAUUCGGAGGAACACCAGUGGCGAAGGCGGCCCACUGGCUCGACACUGACGCUGAGGCGCGAAAGCGUGGGGAGCAAACAGG